CCCCUAGAUGUUCUGGGCCGCACGCGCGCUACACUGAACAGUUCAACAAGUCUUAACCUUGGCCGAUAGGUCUGGGUAAUCUUUGAACGCUGUUCGUGAUUGGGAUAGACCUUUGCAAUUAUGGGUCUUCAACGAGGAAUUCCUAGUAAACGCAAGUCAUCAGCUUGCAUUGAUUACGUCCCUGCCCUUUGUACACACCGCCCGUCGCACCUACCGAUUGAAUGGUCCGGUGAAAUCUCGGGACGGCGGCUUGGUCGCUUGCGUCCGACUGCUGAAACUUGAUUAAACCAUAUCAUUUAGAGGAAGUAAAAGUCGUAACA
rnacentral:rRNA from 1 species